rnacentral:rRNA from 1 species
GACGAACGCUGGCGGCGUGCUUAACACAUGCAAGUCGAACGGAAAGGCCCUGCGUUUGUUGGUUGCUCGAUUGGCGAACGGGGGAGUGACACGUGAGUAACCUGCCCUUAACUUUGUGGGAACUUCAGGAAACAGGGGCGAAUACCGGAGAGGAUCUCCUGCUGCAUGUUGGGGAUUGGAAAAUUUCGGCUGUUGGGGCUGGACUCGCGGCUUAUCAGCUGGUUGGUGGGGUAGUGGCGUACCAAGGCUUUGACGGGUAGCCGGCCUGAGAGGGUGACCGGCCACCUUGGGCCUGAGAUACGGCCCAGACUGCUACGGGAGGCAGCAGUGGGGAAUAUUGCACAAUGGGCGGAAGCCUGAUGCAGCAAUGCCGCGUGCGGGAUGCCGGCCUUCGGGUUGUAAACAGCUUUCGAAUGUGCCGAAGAGUGAGUGACGGUAAUGGGUCAAGAAGCAACGGCUAACUACGUG